ACACUGACGUCGCGACGCAUAUCAAUAAGCGGAGGAAAAGAAACUAACAAGGAUUCCCUUAGUAACGGCGAGUGAAGCGGGAAGAGCUCAAAUUUGAAAUCUUCAAGGUUCUACCUUGACGAAUUGUAAUUUAAAGAAGUGUUUUCUGUUAGUGGAGUGGCUAAAGUUCUUUGGAAUAGGACAUCAUAGAGGGUGAGAAUCCCGUAUUUGGUCAUUCCUUCUAGCUUUGUGAUACACUUUCAAAGAGUCGGAUUGUUUGGGAAUGCAGUCCAAAAUGGGUGGUAAAUUUCAUCUAAAGCUAAAUAUUGGCGAGAGACCGAUAGCGAACAAGUACCGUGAGGGAAAGAUAAAAGAACUUUGAAAAGAGAGUUAAACAGUACGUGAAAUUGUCAGAAGGGAAGCGUUUGACACCAGUGUUGUUUUUCCGAAAAUCAAUUAUAGAUGUUUUGUUUCUGAGGAGUGAUGACUUCAUCGGCUUCCUUCUCUCUUCACGAAACUUUUGUAAUGCACUUUUCGGUUAACAAGUCAACAUCAAUUUCUUUUGUUGUAAAAGAGUAUUCGGAAGGUGGCUUUCUUUUCGGAGAAAGUGUUUAUAGCCCUAUACUUCUACAAUCGGAGAGAUUGAGGUCUGCAGCGUAGAUCCUUCGGGGUUAGAUACACUUGUGCUAAGUUAUAGCUUUUCAUAGACAACUUGUUGACUAUGUUUAGUCUUGUAGCUUACUCGCUUGUGCUAUUUUACCUACGCUUAGGAUGUUGAGUCGUAGAGCACGCAG
rnacentral:rRNA from 1 species